CCUACGGGUGGCUGCAGUGGGGAAUAUUGGACAAUGGGCGAAAGCCUGAUCCAGCCAUGCCGCGUGUGUGAAGAAGGCCUUCGGGUUGUAAAGCACUUUCAGUGGGGAAGAAAGCCUUGGGGCUAAUACCCUCGAGGAAGGACAUCACCCACAGAAGAAGCACCGGCUAACUCCGUGCCAGCAGCCGCGGUAAUACGGAGGGUGCGAGCGUUAAUCGGAAUUACUGGGCGUAAAGCGCGCGUAGGCGGUCUGAUAAGCCGGUUGUGAAAGCCCCGGGCUCAACCUGGGAACGGCAUCCGGAACUGUCAGGCUAGAGUGCAGGAGAGGAAGGUAGAAUUCCCGGUGUAGCGGUGAAAUGCGUAGAGAUCGGGAGGAAUACCAGUGGCGAAGGCGGCCUUCUGGACUGACACUGACGCUGAGGUGCGAAAGCGUGGGUAGCAAACAGGGUUAGAUACCCGUGUAGUC
rnacentral:rRNA from 1 species